rnacentral:rRNA from 1 species
UACGGGGGGGGCAAGCGUUGUUCGGAAUUACUGGGCGUAAAGGGCUCGUAGGUGGCCAACUAAGUCGGACGUGAAAUCCCUCAGCUUAACUGGGGAACUGCGUCCGAUACUGGAUGGCUUGAGUUUGGGAGAGGGAUGCGGAAUUCCAGGUGUAGCGGUGAAAUGCGUAGAUAUCUGGAGGAACACCGGUGGCGAAGGCGGCAUCCUGGACCAACACUGACACUGAGGAGCGAAAGCCAGGAGAGCAAACGGG